rnacentral:rRNA from 1 species
CAGUAGGGAGGAAGGUAGUGUAGUUAACACCUGCAUUAUUUGACGUUACCUACAGAAGAAGCACCGGCUAACUCCGUGCCAGCAGCCGCGGUAAUACGGAGGGUGCGAGCGUUAAUCGGAAUUACUGGGCGUAAAGCGCAUGCAGGCGGCCUGUUAAGUCAGAUGUGAAAGACCCGGGGCGUUAACCUCGGAAUUGCAUUUGUAAACUAGGCAGGCUAGAGUCUUGUAGAGGGGGGUAGGAAGUUUCAGGUGUAGCGGUGAAAUAGCGUAGAGAUCUGAAGGAAUACCAGUGGCGAAGGCGGCCCCCCUGGACAAAGACUGACGCUCAGAUGCGAAAGCGUGGGGAGCAAACAGGAUUAGAUACCCCUGGUAG